rnacentral:lncRNA from 12 species
GGAAAAGCACUUCAGCACAGUGAAAUGGCCUGGCUUCUGACAUCUUCAGUGGCAUGUCAGUGAUACAGUGAUAGUUUUUUUAGCUGUCAAAACAAACAGCCACAUCAUUUAUCCAGGUGAUGAACUGCUUCAACGCAGACCACAUCCCUUGUGUGGAAGAAGGCAGCUUGCACAGGUUGGGCCCUGCUGAAAUUUUCACAGCAGAGAAUGAAGUUCAGAGCAUUUUGGAGCAGGAGCUGAAAAUGUCUAAAAAUGUCGAAUAGUGGACAGUAUCUAUGAGAAGUGAUAUGAAAUGAAAAAUCUAAUGUGAAAAAACCUUUUCUGAUUCUUCUGGUAAUUCUGGUGAUUGUUCC